rnacentral:tRNA from 1 species
CAUCAAAUGGCUGAAAGUAAGCAACGGUCUCUUAAACCGUAUUAUAAUAAAUAACAAAUAUUUUUGAUGA